UUUUAACGAGAGUUUGAUCCUGGCUCAGGAUGAACGCUGGCGGCGUGCUUAACACAUGCAAGUCGAACGAAGCACUUGAUUUGAUUUUCUUCGGAGAUGAAGAUCUUGUGACUGAGUGGCGGACGGGUGAGUAACGCGUGGGCAACCUGCCUUGUACAGGGG
rnacentral:rRNA from 1 species